rnacentral:rRNA from 1 species
UACGGGGGGGCAAGCGUUGUUCGGAAUUACUGGCGUAAAGGGCUCGUAGGUGGCCAACUAAGUCAGACGUGAAAUCCCUCGGCUUAACCGGGGAACUGCGUCUGAUACUGGAUGGCUUGAGUUCGGGAGAGGGAUGCGGAAUUCCAGGUGUAGCGGUGAAAUGCGUAGAUAUCUGGAGGAACACCGGUGGCGAAGGCGGCAUCCUGGACCGACACUGACACUGAGGAGCGAAAGCCAGGGAGCAAACGG